UACAGAGACUGCAAGCGUUAUUCGGAUUCACUGGGCGUAAAGGGUGCGCAGGCGGCCGGGUGUGUCAGAUGUGAAAUCCCGAGGCUUAACCUCGGAACUGCGUCUGAAACUACUCGGCUAGAGUAUUGGAGAGGGUAACGGAAUUCACGGUGUAGCAGUGAAAUGCGUAGAUAUCGUGAGGAACACCAGAGGCGAAGGCGGUUACCUGGACAAUUACUGACGCUCAGGCACGAAAGCGUGGGGAGCAAAAGGG
rnacentral:rRNA from 1 species